CUAUUGUCUUGGUUAGAAUUUGCUUAUAUCUUGAACUGAGGGGUGAUGAUAUAGUUUGUACUCAUAUUUAAUGGACAUCUUUAAUUUUAUAAAUAAAAAAGAUAUCGAACCAGACUAAGAUUGUACAUGAUGUAGUACCACAAGGUUUCCAGAGUUUUGUUUAUACAGGACAUUUGUACCUCAUACAAGUAUGUUGAGAGAAGUUCAGAACAAGCUAUUAUAAUUGAAGAGGAGUUGUCAGCACGUCAUCUUUGAAUAAAUUCAGUUGUAUUAGAAGUGAAGCCUAAACAGAAAUGAGACAUUUAUCAAAUAAUUUAAAGACGACAUGGAUUUUAUCUGGACUAGCAUUUGUAUGACCCAAAUGUGGUAUUUUUCAUAUGAAGACUUACAAGGCAAAUAAUUGGCUGUGGCAAACAUGUGUAUAUAUUUGACAUGUUUAAAGACUUGAAGAACUUGUACUGCCGCCUUCAGAUUUCAGUAGAAUUUGUUUAAGACAGUAAAUUCUGAGUAUGAAUUGGAAAAUUUUUGCUCAUUUCUUAUUUUCUUUCUUGAAACUUAUUACAAAAUAAAUUCUUAUAUACUA